GCAGCAGUAACGGCACUGGCCUGAGAGGCCUUGCAGUGGCGGCAGGAUUUGGCAGCAGAAGUGGCAGCAGCCUGCAAGUCCUCCUGGCGGUAGUGGGAGGCGGUGGCAGAAGCUGUGGCGACCUGCCUCAGCUUCUGCCGCUGUCUCCUGCUGCCACUGCAAGGCCUCACAGGCCGCCACUACUGCCACCGCCAUGGCAAGGCAUUG